rnacentral:rRNA from 1 species
AAAACAUGUCUUGUUGAUAUUAUAAUAUUAAGUCUAACCUGCUCAAUGAGAAUUUUAAUAGCCAUGGUAUUUUAACCAUGCAAAGGUAGCAUAAUAAUUUGUCUUUUAAUUGAAGGCUUGAAUGAAUGGUUGGAUGAGGGAUAGACUUUCUUAAUCUAAAUUAUUUUGAAUUUAAUUUUUAAGUAAAAAAGCUUAAUUUUAGUUGUGGGACGAGAAGACCCUAUAGAAUUUUAUUAUUAUUUUUUAUUUUUAUUUUUAGGUAUAAAUUAAUUAAUAGGAAUAUAAAUAUUAAUUUGAUUGGGGUGAUUAUGGAAUUUAAUAAACUUCCAUUAUUAAUUAUUUCAAUGGUUAUUGUUUUUUUGAUCCUUUAUUAUGGAUAAUAAGAUUAAAUUACCUUAGGGAUAACAGCGUAAUUUCUUUGGAGAGUUCUUAUCAAUGAAGGAGUUUGCGACCUCGAUGUUGGAUUAAAGUUAAUUAAUAGUGCAGAAGCUAUAUAAUUGGGUCUGUUCGACCUUUAAAUCUUUACAUGAUCUGAGUUC